ensembl:snoRNA
AUACUGUGAUGGUUGCAUAGUUCAACAGAUACGAAUCAUGAAAGAGAAACCAUUUUAUCUGAUGUAUCU